rnacentral:tRNA from 1 species
GGCAACUGCACUUCCCCUCAUCUGAGGAAGGAUGUUUGACGGAGCCCAGAUGGUUGAGUGGCCAGCUACCCUAAGAUUUGGGGAAGAUGAUCAAAGAUACGGACUGGCUUUUGCAAAGGCCCUGAGGCAGAAAUAAGAGACAGAAACAGAAAUCCAACUGGCCUCUUCUGGUGGCCACCAUUCCUGAGUGAUAGCAGAGCUUUAGAAAGAGGGGAAUGGAAAUUUCCCAGAUACUUAUGCACCCCCCCGCCCCGCCCACAACUGCAAAUGCCAGGGGAUGGUGGGUGCCUUGAACCGGGGGUGGGAAGAGGAGCUGCAGACAGGGGGUCUAACAUAGGGAAUGGGAACGGAGCAGAUCCUUCACCCAGGUCCCACGCUCGUGGUCCAUUUGGUCUUGGAGAGCCACCCGGAAGCAGUGGCCUGGAUCCGGGCGAGGGCAGCGCCUCCUCCGCGUCCGCAGGAAGCCACCCGGCAUCAGGAGCGCCCGGGACCUAGGUCUACAUUGCAUCCCCGGUCUGGGAUGCGGUUUAAACAACCGACUAACGAACGGGAAGGGCAGUCGGCGGCCGACUGAGAUCCACCGCUGUUUGGACACCGCUCAGGAGCUACAAAGCAGGCCGGAAAAAGGGGGCCCGGCUCCUUCGCGAGUUUGUUUUUCGCUCGGGCUGAGACAGGAAGCGAGGAGACCAGGGGGACCCCAACUCCUUCCUGCACGAAUAUAAAAUGACCGCAUAGCUCAGCUCCAAAAGAGUCGUGCUCCAGGUGAGGCUCGAACUCACAACCUCGGCAUCGCUCUGCAUGUACUGCUGUAUAAGUACCGCGCGCUAACCGAUUGCGCCACUGGAGCUCCGCUAAGCCGGCCUCGCGAAGGCUCUAUCAGGCCCAGGGAGGCGUCAGUGGAGCAUGCGCAGCCGCCACCGGCGGGCUCCGCUCGAGACUCCAGCCUUCCGCAACUUCAGAACAGACUUACGGCUACGAGCCGGUGUCUGGGGACCGGUGGAUCCAGGAGCGACUGGACGAGGGUCCCACGAGGGGCUCGCACGGCCAAGCCUGCGGGCGAGCGACGGCAUCCUCUGCGGGGCUUCGCUCCGUGAGAUCCAGCCCCCGGCACGCGCAGACCGGCCUGGCAGGGGCGGACCGAGCGACCCCGCGGCUGCCGUCCUCGGGAAGCGAACCCGGAUCCCCGACCCGCCCUUCCGAUGGCGAGAAGGCGAACCGCGCAGACAGCCCCGGCGGGCGGCUCAGCCCGAGGGGCCUCGGGGGUCCAAGCUGCAGCCAGCGUUGCAUCAUGGUUAUGUAUUAAGAAGUGCAAAUGUUGCUGUACAGAAGCCAAAUCCUACACGAGGAGCCCCAGAGCAGUCACCAUGGGCAGACAGCUGGUAUCUUGAUACUACUGUGGGUACUGGUCACAAACACCCAGGAGCUUCCAAAACGGUUCUGUCAAAUUGGAAGAUCUGCAGAAUUAUUUUAGGGUUUUGGUUUUUGCUGCAUAGUUGGUUGCUUUCUUGAGCAGAAAGCAACAAGUGCUUGUGCUCAGGUCACUUUCUCCUCUUUAUACACUCCAGGGUGGCCCAGGGAAUGGCGCCACCCACAGCGGGUGUGUUUUCCCAAAUGAAGGCACUCCUGAACAGAUAUUGAGUCUUAGUUUGAUUUCUAUUGUUGUGAUAAAGAUCAUUACCAAAAGCAACUUGGAAAGGAAAGAGUUUACUUGGCUUACACAUUCUGAUUAUUGUCGAUCUUUGAGGAAAGUUAGGAUAGAAACUCAAGGCAGAAUCAGGAACUGUUUCAAAAACCAUAGAGGAGUGCUGCUUACUGGCUCACUCUCCAGGGUUUGCUCAGUUUAGUUUCUUAAACAACCCAGGACCACCUGCCUAGGGGUGACACCACCCACAGUGGGCUGGCCCUCCUAUAUCAAUCAUUAAUCAAUAAAAAGCCCACAAACAUUGCCUACAAGCCAAUCUGAUGGAGGCAACUUAUCAGCUGAUAGUCCCUCUUCCCAGAUGACUGUAGCCUGUACCAAGUCACCAAAAAACAAAACAAAACAAAACAAAAACAAACAAACCUAGCCAGCACACAUUCUCAAAGGUUAAACUUAAUCUACAGCAGUGGUUCUCAACUUUCCUAACACUGCGAUUCUUUAAUACAGUUCCUCGUGUGGUGACCCUCAACCAUAAAAUUAUUUUUGUUGCUACUUCAUAAAUGUAUUUUUGCUACUGUUACAAAUUAUAAUGUAAAUAUCUGAUACGCAGGCUCUCUGAUAUACGACCCCUGUGAAAGGGGGCCGAAUGACCAACUGGUUGAGAACUGAUCUGGAUAAUUCUUCAUAGGUGUGCCUGAAAGCUUGCAUUCUAAGAGAUUCUAGAUUCUGUCAUCAAGUUGACGACCACUGUUAACAACUACACCUUCCGUCUUCCAGAGCUCCAUGUCCCAACCCCUAGAAUCCACAAGUACAUUAUCUUAGGCCUUAAAGGGGAUUUUGUAGAUUACACUGAAGACACAGGAUGGGAAGAAGGUCAUGGUUCAUCCUGAGUGGGUCUUAUAGAAUCCCUGGGACUCUCAUGAUGGAGAGGAGGAUGAAGAGUCAGGGGAGUGACAAUGUGGUGACAAUGACAAAGGAUGGAGGUGUGCCUUAACAAAGCAGUGAUAAUGUUGGGCAGGGAGUUAGGUAUGAGGUAACUAAGGAAAACCACAGCUGGAUCUUGGGAACUGUGAUUCUCACAGCAUCUCUUCUGGUGAAAAAUCCUUGAGGCUGCAGUUGGGUUGUUUCUGUUAGAUUGGAAAACAAUGCAUUUUUCACACAUGUGCGAUAGCGAAGGGUCUGCAUCUACCAAAGACCCUGCCUUCCUUAUAACAUCAUUUGCACUGUGGCCCUUGACCCUCUCCCUGUGUGGGUUUUCCUAGAGGAACAUGGGGGAAAAUAUCCAGAAGUGGAGAUCCUGUCCACUGUUUUUUGAGAGGGAAAGGGGUCAUCUUACCCCAUGACAUUGUCAACCACCUCAUAAAUAUUUAUAAAAUAUCCACAGCUGUGCCACCUACCUAAUAAAUAUUCAUAAAUAAUAAAAUUUUGCUUAAAUUGUUCUCUUGCCUGAGAACUGAGAGCCCCAUACCCAUAACAGCAGGAUUGAUCAAGCCAAGGAAUACAGGCAGCUUCCAGAAUGUAGAAAGACACAGAGCAGUCUGCCAGAGUAGAUGAAGCUUUAACAAUACCUAGACAUUCACCAUUCAGACUGGCAUUAUUUUAAACUCCAAGAUCAUAAAUUGAUGUACAUGAUGAGGCAUUGCUUUCUUUCUUUUUUUUUUUCAUUACUGAAUCUAGGGCAUUGUGCAUACUAGGCGAGUGUUUUACCAUUGAGCUAUAUUCCCUUCCCCUUUAAAUAAAAAAAUUUUAUCACAUUUA